rnacentral:misc_RNA from 1 species
GUAGGUGAACCUGCGGAAGGAUCAUUACUGAGUUCAUGCCCUAACGGGUAGAUCUCCACCCUUGAAUACAAACUCUUGUUGCUUUGGCGGGCCGCUUCGGCUACUGGCUUCUAGCUAGUGAGUGCCCGCCAGAGGACCCCAAACUCUAAAUUUUGUAUUGUCUGAGAACUAUAUAAUAGUUAAAACUUUCAACAACGGAUCUCUUGGUUCUG